rnacentral:rRNA from 1 species
GAUCAUAGCUCAGGACGAACGCUGGCGGCGCGCCUAACACAUGCAAGUCGAACGGAGCCUUGCUUUGGAAGUUUUCGGAUGGAAGAAGUUUGGCUUAGUGGCGGACGGGUGAGUAACACGUGAGCAACCUGCCCUUCAGAGGGGGAUAACAGUUGGAAACGACUGCUAAUACCGCAUGAAGUUGCGGGGCCGCAUGGCCCUGCAACCAAAGGAGCAAUCCGCUGAGGGAUGGGCUCGCGUCCGA